rnacentral:rRNA from 1 species
AUUCCCCUAGUAACGGCGAGUGAAGCGGGACCAGCUCAAAUUUGAAAUCUGGCCCUCGGGUCCGAGUUGUAAUUUGCAGAGGAUGCUUUUGGCGCGGUGCCUUCCGAGUUCCCUGGAACGGGACGCCUUAGAGGGUGAGAGCCCCGUACGGUUGGCCACCAAGCCUGUGUAAAGCUCCUUCGACGAGUCGAGUAGUUUGGGAAUGCUGCUCAAAACGGGAGGUAUAUUUCUUCUAAAGCUAAAUACUGGCCAGAGACCGAUAGCGCACAAGUAGAGUGAUCGAAAGAUGAAAAGCACUUUGAAAAGAGGGUUAAAUAGCACGUGAAAUUGUUGAAAGGGAAGGGUUUAUGACCAGACUUUUUCUAGGGGGAUCAUCCGGUGUUCUCACCGGUGCACUUCCCCUAGUUGAGGCCAGCAUCGGUUUCUGCCGGGGGAUAAAAGCUUCGGGAAUGUGGCUCCUUCGGGAGUGUUAUAGCCCGUUGUAUAAUACCCUGGCGGGGACCGAGGUUCGCGCAUUCGCAAGGAUGCUGGCGUAAUGGUUAUUAACCACCCGUCUUGAAACACGGACCAAGGAGUCGAACAUUUGUGCGAGUGUUUGGGUGUUAAACCCUCACGCGUAAUGAAAGUGAACGGAGGUGAGAGCCUUUAGGGGUGCAUCAUCGACCGAUCCUGAUGUCUUCGGAUGGAUUUGAGUAGGAGCAUCACUGUUAGGACCCGAAAGA